rnacentral:rRNA from 1 species
UACGUAGGGUGCGAGCGUUGUCCGGAAUUAUUGGGCGUAAAGAGCUUGUAGGCGGUCUGUCGCGUCUGCUGUGAAAUUCCGGGGCUCAACCCCGGACUUGCAGUGGGUACGGGCAGACUAGAGUGUGGUAGGGGAGACUGGAAUUCCUGGUGUAGCGGUGAAAUGCGCAGAUAUCAGGAGGAACACCGAUGGCGAAGGCAGGUCUCUGGGCCAUUACUGACGCUGAGAAGCGAAAGCAUGGGGAGCAAACGGG